GCUGUAGUAAGUGCAGCUUUGCAACGAACAGCCGGCAGAGCCUGUGUCUGGGUGCUCCAGGCUGGUAAAGCAAUUCCCUUGUGAUCUGAAGCCGCUUGAAACGUUCCUUGCUAAAUACCGCAGCCGACCAAAACCCUCGGCCACGCGCGUUCCUCAGCCUGGCGCUUUCCUGGUGAUCAUCGAAGGGAACUUUUUUCUUUCUGUGCGCAGCAGCAGCAGCCGCCUCAGGCUAUUUUUCGUUUCUCCUCCGUAAGGAGGCGGAUGGAGUCCAAGCCCGGCGGUGUCCCCGGAUGCUUUGCCGCGUGGAAGGUCCGGCCGUGGAGAGGGGGCGACUGCUCCCCAGCAUCCCCAUCCCGUGCAGCGUCGCGCAGCAGUCAAGCAGAGCUUUGGGAUGACACUCUCGUCCAUCAGAGGCAGUUAUGGUGUGUGAGAACUGAAGCUGCUGCAACAGGGCCCCUCUCCUAUCACUGUUGUUCAUUAGCCUGCUGUGAUGGUGCUGGCUCCUCGUAAACCAGGGCAUCUUUGAAGACUGCCUCUACUAUGUUUGUGCCAGACAACACUUGGAAACAAAAACAAAGAAAUCCCAACAGUUUUAGCAGGAAGGAACCCACCUGAAACCAGAAUUGAGCUUUCAUUGCAUCUAAGAUACAGCCAGAGAUGACAAGUGAUCACUGAAAAGAAGGUAUGAAACAGCCAGUGCUAUUGUCCUAAUCCAUGCUGUGUGCUCAAGACAAUUCUGCUACGGAGUAUCACUGGAAAACCCUUUUUCUUCAUCUCUGUGCAAUGAAGGCGCCUGCAAAUGCUGUUAAAGGUGCUGAUCUUCCACACAGGUUGCCAGGAGCUCCAGCACUUAAUGGCACUUUUGAGAGGGAAUCUCUGAGUCGGAGGAAACACGUGCUAGUUGCUUGUGGAGGAAUAAAAUGCACAAGGUUUGCAUUAAAAAAAAUCAUUCAUGCUUAGUCAUCUAUAAAACAGUAAUAGCAGUGAAAAAGUUUCUCAGAAAGUAGAUGCUGAAUAAUAAGCCUUUCUCAUUGUGAGCACUAACAGAUGAUAUAAAAGCUAACAGUUUUCACCACUAAGUGGCUGCCUUAUACCUGUAUAUGAAUGUUGUGCACAUGAAUGGCGAUAGCCUGAGAACUUAGAAAUAUUCUUUAUAAAAAUGAGACAAUAGGCUAUGUACUUUAAAAAUCACUUUUGCAAAAUCAAGAGUAAACCCUCUUGCCUUAAAAAAAAA